rnacentral:rRNA from 1 species
AGUGAACGCUGGCGGUAGGCCUAACACAUGCGAGUCGAACGGCAGCACAGUAAGAGCUUGCUCUUACGGGUGGCGAGUGGCGGACGGGUGAGGAAUACAUCGGAAUCUACUUUUUCGUGGGGGAUAACGUAGGGAAACUGACGCUAAUACCGCAUACGACCUACGGGUGAAAGCAGGGGAUCUUCGGACCUUUCGCGAUUGAAUGAGCCGAUGUCGGAUUAGCUAGUUGGCGAGGUAAAGGCCCACCAAGGCGACGAUCCGUAGCUGGUCUGAGAGGAUGAUCAGCCACACUGGAACUGAGACACGGUCCAGACUCCUACGGGAGGCAGCAGUGGGGAAUAUUGGACAAUGGGCGCAAGCCUGAUCCAGCCAUACCGCGUGGGUGAAGAAGGCCUUCGGGUUGUAAAGCCCUUUUGUUGGGAAAGAAAAGCAGCAGGUUAAUACCCCGCUGUUCUGACGGUGCCCAAAGAAUAAGCACCGGCUAACUUCGUG